AGGAGUUUGAUCCUGGCUCAGGACGAACGCUUGCGACGUGCCUAAGAAAUGCAAGUCGAGCGAGGUAGCAAUACCUAGCGGCGAACGGUCGCGUAACACGUAAGCAACCUGCCCCAAAGACCGGGACAACGUUCCGAAAGGAGCGCUAAUACCGGAUGUGCCCGCGAGGAGACCUCUCUUUGCGAGUAAAGCGCGCAAUCGGCUUUGGGAGGGGCUUGCGGCCUAUCAGCUAGAUGGUGGGGUAACGGCCUACCAUGGCGACGACGGGUAGCUGGUCUGAGAGGAUGGUCAGCCGGAUUGGGACUGAGAUACGGCCCAGACUCCUACGGGGGGCAGCAAUUAGGAAUCUUGCGCAAUGGGCGAAAGCCUGACGCAGCGACGUCGCGUGGGGGAGGAAGGCUUUCGGGUUGUAAACCCCUUUUAUCGAGGAAGAAACAAAUGACGGUACUCGAUGAAUAAGCCCCGGCUAACUCCGUGCCAGCAGCCGCGGUAAUACGGAGGGGGCGAGCGUUGUCCGAAGUUACUGGGCGUAAAGCGCGCGUAGGCGGGUUGGUAAGUCCGCUGUGAAAGCCCGGAGCUUAACUCCGGAGGGUCGGGGAUACUGCCAGCU
rnacentral:rRNA from 1 species